rnacentral:tRNA from 1 species
GGUAUAGCUCAGUUGGUUAGAGCGCCAGAUUGUGGCUCUGGAGGCCGUCGGUUCGAGUCCGAUUAC